UUUAAAGGUUCAGGGCAAAUUUUCUUCUGGAAUGCCACUAUUGAGUGUCGACUCGAGUCUAUAAUGCCUUCUGUUAUGGUCAUCAUCACUUCUUGCAAUCUGUCAAAGCUCAAGCAUUGGUUAGGAUGAGAGCUAGCUUCUGUGGCAACCUCCAUAUGAUGUCUUACUCUCGCUACCUCUUCUCUCCACUCCCCUACGAACAUCGUAUUAUGUGUGUGCCCUUUUAUAAUUGAUCGCCUUUGUUCUCCCAUGCUAGUCCUCAUCAGACCAAGGAAUGUUGUACCGUCUGUCAAGACAUCGGUGCUAUGCACCUGGUCAGUAUCUUCUUCCUUUCUAGCCCUAGAA
rnacentral:lncRNA from 1 species